CCCUUAGAUGUUCUGGGCCGCACGCGCGCUACACUGACGAAGUCAGCGAGCAUGUCCUACGCCGACAGGUGCGGGGAAUCUUGUCAAACUUCGUCGUGAUGGGGAUUGAUUAUUGAAAUUCUUGAUCAUCAACGAGGAAUUCCUAGUAAGCGCAAGUCAGCAGCUUGCGUUGAUUACGUCCCUGCCCUUUGUACACACCGCCCGUCGCUCCUACCGAUUGAAUGAUCCGAUGAAUAUCAUGGAUUGAGGAUGCAAGUAGGUUCACCUAUCUUCAUCUUCGAGAAGUGAAGUAAAUCUUAUCAUUUAGAGGAAGGAGAAGUCGUAACA
rnacentral:rRNA from 1 species